rnacentral:rRNA from 1 species
GUAGCGGCCUCGGGAGUAUAACGGCAGCGACAGUACUGAUCCCAAUGGUGAUCGAACGCCGGCGGACGCUUUAAUAUGCGUGGAACGAACGGUGGCAUCGCGACUUCGGACCUGGUGGAAGGCGAAGGCGAACGCAAGUAUAAUGAAUGGGAACGCCCAGUAGCGUAGCGAUAACUACGCGAAAGCGUAGCUAAUACCGCACAUUUUCGGGGAAAGGGGGACCUUCGGGCCUCUCGCCAACUAUUAGAGCGGCCGAUAUCGGAUUAGCUAGUUGGUGGGGUAAAUGCUCACUACAGCGACGAUCCGUAGCUGGUUUGAGAGGACGACCAGCCACACUGGGACUGAGACACGGCCCAGACUCCUACGGAGGCAGCAGUGGGGAAUUUUGACACAAUGGGGGAACCUGAUCCAGCUUGCUCCGGCGUGCGAUGUGAAGGCCUUCGGGUUGUAAAGCACUUUUGGCAGGAAGAAACGGCACGGGAUAAUACCCCGUGCAACUGACGGUACCUGCAGAAUAAGCACCGGCUAAUUCAUGUGCCAGCAGCCGCGGUAAUACGAAGCGUUAAUCGGAAUUACUGGGCGUAUAAAAGCGGCGCAGGCGGUUCCGAAAGAAAGAUGUAAACCCCAGAGCUUAACUUUGGAACUGCAUUUUUAACUACCCCGGAGCUAGAGUGUGUCAGAGGGAGGUGGAAUUCCGCGCAGCAGUGAAAUGCGUAGAUACGCGGAGGAACACCGAUGGCGAAGGCAGCCUCCUGGGAUAACAUCGAUGUCAUGCACGAAAGCGUGGGGAGCAAACAGGAUUAGAUACUCCUGGUAGUCCACGCCCUAAACGAUGUCAACUAGCUGUUGGGGCCUUCGGGCCUUGGUAUGCGCUAACGCGUGAAGUUGACCGCCUGGGGAGCACGGUCAAGAUUAAAACUCAAAGGAAUUGACGGGGACCCGCACAAGCGGUGGAUGAUGUGGAUUAAUCUUCAAUGCAAAACCUUUACCCACCUUUGAGAUAAAGCCCGGAACCCGGCCAGAUUUUGAGAGUGUCAAAGAGAACCGGAAUAUUAGGUGCUGGGCAUGGUUGUCGUCAGCUCGUGUCGUGAGAUGUUGUUAAGUCCUACAAAAUCGACGUCAAACCAACAAGCUGAAAGAGCACUGGUGCGCACCAAACUGAAGAAUCGCCGUGGCACAAACCGGAUGGUAAUAGACGUCGCUCCUGCGAAUCUUUACGGCAGGUUGAUGUUAGCGCAGUCGUUCGACAGGUCAACCCGCGAGGGGGAGCUAAUCCCAGAAACCCGAUCGUAGUCCGGAUCGCAGUCUGCAACUCGACUGCGUGAAGUCGAAUCGCUAGUAAUCGCGGAUCAGCAUGUCGUGUACAGAAUAUGCGUUCGGGUCUUGUACACACCGCCCGUCACACCAUGGGAGUGGCUCUUACCAGAAGAGUUAGUCUCAACCCGUGAUGCUGAUUACCACGGUAGGAUUCAUGACCGGGGUGAAGUCGUAACAAGGUAA